GAUGCCUUAGAAGAAAAGAGCUUUAUGCUGUCUCUCUCCUCCGCCUCUGAUGCAGAAUUUGAGGUUGUGGUGGGAUAUUUGGAGGACGCUAUCAUGGAUGAGGAGUUCCAGCUACUACAGAGACGUUUCAUGGACAGGUACUACCAGGAGUUUGAAGACACAGAAGCGGAUAAGUUCACCUACAUGCUAUUUUUAAUGAAUUCAUUUGAUAGAAAAGUACAUUGAAGAAUCACUGCUGGAGUGGAUUCCUGGAUUUAACACGGCAGCUUUCACAGCAGCCUUGCAGCACCAUAAAAAUAAAGGCUGGUGACAUAUUUGACAUGCUGCUCAUAUUUGUGGAUUUUCUGGCUUUUGAAUAAAUGUUCCUGGACUGGAAAGCAGAAGAAGAAGGCUACUGAACCUGAGCAGAGGUUUAGUCGUGACUUUGUUGUGCAAAUCAUCUUCUAUGCCGACUUCCCAAGACAGUCUGUGGCGCUAG
rnacentral:lncRNA from 1 species